CUUUAUCCAGACUGAAGGUCCGUCCCUCUCUCAUCUGGUUACUAAGGUUCUUGUUCUGGUUUUGCAUGUAGACCGUAAAAAAAGCUCUGCGUCGGGUCCCGCCCCCUACCCUGCCUCUGAUUGGCUAAGGCCUUGAAGAGGUCCAACCUUUGGAAAGAGGAAAACAGCGUGACAGGACUGGGAAAAUGGCGACUGUGCGGCCCGUUGGACAGCCACACCUCCCUGGUGGCCCGCAGCCUCCUGAUCGAAGCCACUGAUCGAUCAGAACAAAUACAUGAUGAAAGUGAUCAACGACUCAAAGAGAGCAGACGGAGUUUAGUGUAGGAAAAAGUUUUCUGUUGAUUUUCUGUCAAGUUUUCCAGAUUCAGCUGCAACACUUCCUGAAGUGUCCUUCAAAAUAAAAGCCCUGAGUUGUCUUUUCCUCUCAGCCUUGAGGUGAACAGGAGUUCCUCCUCAGAGGAAGUUUGUCCUGAUAGAUUAUUGAUUUGUCUGAUCAGAAAGUCUCUCUGUGCUUGGGUCUCUUCUAAUAAAUGUGAUUUACUUGUCUCCGUUUGUGACGAGCUUCUGUCUGCCUGAGCUUUAUUGUUUAGACCGGAUGUAGAUGUGAUUUUAGGUGAAAGAUGUCAACUUGUCCUCUCUGUGGUCGGAGCUGAACUCCGCAGUAAAGACAGCAGCUGCGAUGGCAGCCAGAGACCCAUCCAUUAAGUGUGAUUCACUGUUUCUCGUGUUAAUAUGAGAUUUACUAAGAGUCGCUGAGAAAAAGUUUCUGACAGCUUUGAUGAGUUUAAAGAGCUGAAGGGUUCUGUUCGUUCCUUCUAAACUUUUACUUUCACUUUUAGUUCCUGCAUGAUGGCGCAGAGUUCAGAUUCUUAUUUAAAAUGUUAUUUGAAUUAAUAUAAAUAUUUACAGUGAUUACACAGUUACAUGGAAAACACUUUAGAUCUAUCUGUUUAAAUUAUAAAUAAGAGGUAAACAGGAGAAAAGCAAACAAGGCCAAAGGUUUAUUACACAAAAUCUAUCUCAUUGUUAUUGAUUUCUGAUUGUCGCACCUUAAUGUCUGAUGUGUGUGUUGCUAUAUCAUGCUGUCAUUUCAGUGUUUCAUAAAUGAUCCUGGUCUGAAUAAUGAGCUCAUGUGUUUUCUCUCUGCAGCACCACUCAGAAAAAGAAGAGACAGUAAGGAUGAACCUCCAGACUUGAGGCUGGUUCUUGUUGGGAAAACUGGAGCUGGAAAGAGCUCCAGUGGAAACACCUUACUGGGACGAGACGCCUUCAGUGCAGCGGUCAGCCACUUCUCAG